UGUUAUGUUAAUCGGGGUCAGUAUAACUAGAGCCAAGGCCAUCGAUGCUCCACCAAAGUAUUUGCAAAACCUCGAAAUUUGCGGACAAAUUGUGCGGAGAUGAACUGC